CACUGAGAGAAAGGAAAGGAGGCAAGGGACAGGCGAAGAAACGGGAUCAUGCAAAACAGGAGUCAUUACAACAAAAAAAGAAGAGAAGAGGGUAGUCUGAACCCAGGGAAAGCAGGGGUAAGGAGGGAAAUGUGACCACACCAACAGAGGAGAGCAGAGCUCCCGUGUCUGUGUCUCCACAUCACAAAGAGCAGGGUACAGGACAAGCAAAUAAUCUGGAAUAUGCAGGUGAAGUGUGAUUGAACCUUCAUCGAUCCUCCUGCAGUCUCCUUCCGGACCUCCCUCUGUUGUUUCUGUCAUUCCUGCUCUGUAAACUCCUGAGGAAGCCUGUUGAUGUCUGAAGGAGAGAGGCAGAUCACAGAUAUUUGGGUAUGGAAGAAACAACUUCAAGACAGCUGAAGUGAGCUUUUCUCCAGCACCCCAGCAGCACCGAGAUGGAGCUCCAAACCCUGGUCAUUGGAAGAGCAAUUCAGUAGCAGCCUUGCUCUUUGUGGGAGCAUGAAUUAUUCUCUGUGGUUUUCAGACCGGCUCGGACUCUCAAGAAGGGAUCAGAAUUUUCAUCGCAGGGGUCCAGUCACAGAAUUGUGAAUUACAAUUCACUGUCUUCAGAAUUCACUCAAGCAACAAUGACCAGGGUGGGCAUUUAUCGCUAUUCCGCCCCUAUGGAGUUCAGAGUCUUUGAAUCAAAGUUCAAGCUGGCUACAUGAUUUCAGAAAGGCUAAAACCAGGAUGAAUGCCCACAUUUGAGACUCAUGACCAGGACAACCUGAUGAUGAGGGUGGACACCGUCCUCCUACUCCAUCGAGAACAUCGGCAAACAGCAGAAUGAGAAUUCAGUUUCCAGGGAGGAAACCUGCUAUUUCAACAGGACAUAAACAGACCGGUACACAAAUGAGUCCCCAGACCCUCUGGGUCCUCACAGACRACCUGGUCACUUCCAGCCCAUCCAGUGCUCGACAAAACACCCAGUUAUAUACACUUCUGACCCCAAUGAGCCUCCCCAACACCUCACCAAGUGAGCUACGAUUGACGACAUGGGAAAAAAACCCC